AUACGUAGGUGGCAAGCGUUGUCCGGAUUUAUUGGGCGUAAGGCGAGCGCAGGCGGUUUUUUAAGUCUGAUGUGAAAGCCUUCGGCUCAACCGAAGAAGUGCAUCGGAAACUGGAAAACUUGAGUGCAGAAGAGGACAGUGGAACUCCAUGUGUAGCGGUGGAAUGCGUAGAUAUAUGGAAGAACACCAGUGGCGAAGGCGGCUGUCUAGUCUGUAACUGACGCCGAGGCUCGAAAGCAUGGGUAGC
rnacentral:rRNA from 1 species